rnacentral:rRNA from 1 species
UGCAGUCGAGCGAACGGAUAAGGAGCUUGCUCCUUUGAAGUUAGCGGCGGACGGGUGAGUAACACGUGGGUAACCUACCUAUAAGACUGGAAUAACUUCGGGAAACCGGAGCUAAUGCCGGAUAACAUUUGGAACCGCAUGGUUCUAAAGUAAAAGAUGGUUUUGCUAUCACUUAUAGAUGGACCCGCGCCGUAUUAGCUAGUUGGUAAGGUAACGGCUUACCAAGGCAACGAUACGUAGCCGACCUGAGAGGGUGAUCGGCCACACUGGAACUGAGACACGGUCCAGACUCCUACGGGAGGCAGCAGUAGGGAAUCUUCCGCAAUGGACGAAAGUCUGACGGAGCAACGCCGCGUGAGUGAUGAAGGUUUUCGGAUCGUAAAACUCUGUUAUUAGGGAAGAACAAAUGUGUAAGUAACUGUGCACAUCUUGACGGUACCUAAUCAGAAAGCCACGGCUAACUACGUGCCAGCAGCCGCGGUAAUACGUAGGUGGCAAGCGUUAUCCGGAAUUAUUGGGCGUAAAGCGCGCGUAGGCGGUUUCUUAAGUCUGAUGUGAAAGCCCACGGCUCAACCGUGGAGGGUCAUUGGAAACUGGGAAACUUGAGUACAGAAGAGGAAAGUGGAAUUCCAUGUGUAGCGGUGAAAUGCGCAGAGAUAUGGAGGAACACCAGUGGCGAAGGCGACUUUCUGGUCUGUAACUGACGCUGAUGUGCGAAAGCGUGGGGAUCAAACAGGAUUAGAUACCCUGGUAGUCCACGCCGUAAACGAUGAGUGCUAAGUGUUAGGGGGUUUCCGCCCCUUAGUGCUGCAGCUAACGCAUUAAGCACUCCGCCUGGGGAGUACGACCG